UUUCAUGGCAAACAAUCUCUUCAUAUUGAUUUUUUGGCCGUAGAUUGACAUUACUUAUUUACUUACAUAAGUAAUGUCAAUCUACGGCCAAAAAAUCAAUCAAUUAAUCUUAACCAUAGA